rnacentral:rRNA from 1 species
AUACGGGGGGAGCAAGCGUUGUCCGGAAUUACUGGGCGUAAAGGGCGUGUAGGCGGCUUGAUAAGUCAGAUGUGAAAGCCUUCCGCUUAACGGAAGAACUGCAUUUGAAACUGUCGGGCUUGAGUGCGAGAGAGGGUAGUGGAAUUCCCAGUGUAGCGGUGAAAUGCGUAGAUAUUGGGAAGAACACCAGUAGCGAAGGCGGCUACCUGGCUCGUAACUGACGCUAAGGCGCGAAAGCGUGGGUAGCAAACAGGAUUAGAAACCCCGGUAGUCC